GAUAAGGUCAGCUAAUAAAGCUUUCGGGCCCAUACCCCGAACAUGAUGGUUAAAAUCCCUCCCAUAUCA
rnacentral:tRNA from 2 species